CCAUAGAGAAAGUACACAAAUAACAGGCAUGCAGCUUGAUGAACAGGAAACCGUCCCCUGAAAACAUCAGCCACUCAAGGCACAGUGCUUUGUUGGGACUUCAAGGCCCUGCCAGCAGCCUUGGUACUCCCUCCUCUUCCCAAGGAUCAGCUUGUCAAGUUUCACAAACGGCCUGCUGGGAUAUUGAUCAGGAUGGUACUGACUCUAGGGAUCAAUUGUGGGGUACAGGGGAUUGAACCGAGGACCUCACACAUGCUAGACAAGCACUCUACCGCCGAGCUACUCCCCAGCCCUAGAGAGAUUCUGAAUGUUCCCAGCACAAAGAAAAUAUAUGUUUGAUGUGAUUGAUGUCACACUGUGUACAAGUACUGUUUUGAUUAAAAACAUUUUUUAAAAAUUACAUGGGUCUUACAAUGGUACAGAAUAGAAGACACAGAGACAAGCCCACAUAAAUACAGUUAUCUCCUACUAGACAAAGGUGCCAAAAACAUACAUCAGAGAAAAGAUAGCCUCUUCAACAAAUGGUACUGGGAAACUGGAAAUCCAUAUGCAGCAAGAUGAAACUAAACCCCUAUCUCUCACCUUGCACAAAACUCAACUCAAAGUGGAUCAAGGACCUAGGAAUUUGACCAGAGACUUUGUGCCUAAUAGAAGAAAACAUAGACCCAAAUCUUCAUCAUGUUGGAUUGGUCCCGACUUCCUUAAUAAAACUCCUAAAGUGCAAGAAAUAAAAUCAAGAAUAAAUAAAUGGGAUGGAUUCAAACUAAAAAGCUUCUUCUCAGCAAAGAAACAAUCAAUAACUUAAAGAAAGAGCCUACAUUUUGGGAGCAAAUUUUUGCUACACACAAGUCAGAGCACUAAUCUCCAGGAUAUAUAAAGAACUCAAAAAGCUUAACACCAAAAACAAACAAACAAACAAACACCAACCCAAUUUAAUAAAUGGG